UACAGAGGGGGCAAGCGUUGUUCGGAAUUACUGGGCGUAAAGGGCGCGUAGGCGGCCUGUUAAGUCGAACGUGAAAUCCCUGGGCUCAACCCAGGAACUGCGUCCGAUACUGGCAGGCUUGAAUUCGGGAGAGGGAUGCGGAAUUCCAGGUGUAGCGGUGAAAUGCGUAGAUAUCGAGAGGAACACCUGCGGCGAAGGCGGGUUGCUGGGCUGAUACUGACGCUGAGGCGCGAAAGCCAGGGGAGCGAACGGG
rnacentral:rRNA from 1 species